UGGCUCAGAACGAACGCUGGCGGCGUGCUUAACACAUGCAAGUCGAGCGGGGUCCAGCCUAAAGCAAGACAGGGGAAGACCUAGCGGCGAACGGGUGAGUAACACGUGAGGAACCUGCCCCGAAGACUGGGAUAACACCGGGAAACCGGUGCUAAUACCGGAUGCCCUCAGAGAGUCGCAUGGCUCAUUGAGGAAAUGGAUUCCGCUUCGGGAGGGCCUCGCGGCCUAUCAGCUUGUUGGUGGGGUGAUGGCCUACCAAGGCGAGGACAGAGUAGCCGGCCUGAGAGGGCGACCGGCCACACUGGGAUUUUCUCUCGGCCCAAGAUCCUACGGGAGGCA
rnacentral:rRNA from 1 species